UACAGAGGUCCCAAGCGUUGUUCGGAUUCAUUGGGCGUAAAGGGUGCGUAGGCGGCGCGGUAAGUCGGGUGUGAAAUCUCGGGGCUUAACUCCGAAACUGCAUUCGAUACUGCCGUGCUUGAGGACUGGAGAGGAGACUGGAAUUUACGGUGUAGCGGUGAAAUGCGUAGAUAUCAGGAGGAACACCGGUGGCGAAGGCGGGUCUCUGGGCCGAAAUUGACGCUGAGGAGCGAAAGCCAGGGGAGCAAACGGG
rnacentral:rRNA from 1 species